UACGAAGGGGGCUAGCGUUGUUCGGAAUUACUGGGCGUAAAGCGCACGUAGGCGGACAUUUAAGUCAGGGGUGAAAUCCCAGAGCUCAACUCUGGAACUGCCUUUGAUACUGGGUGUCUUGAGUAUGGAAGAGGUGAGUGGAAUUCCGAGUGUAGAGGUGAAAUUCGUAGAUAUUCGGAGGAACACCCGUGGCGAAGGCGGCCCCCUGGGCCGUACCUGACGCUGAGGCGCGAAGGCUAGGGGAGCGAACGGG
rnacentral:rRNA from 1 species